rnacentral:rRNA from 1 species
UACGAAGGGGGCUAGCGUUGCUCGGAAUUACUGGGCGUAAAGGGCGCGUAGGCGGACAGUUUAGUCAGAGGUGAAAGCCCAGGGCUCAACCCCGGACUUGCAGUGGGUACGGGCAGACUAGAGUGUGGUAGGGGAGACUGGAAUUCCUGGUGUAGCGGUGAAAUGCGCAGAUAUCGGAAGGAACACCGGUGGCGAAGGCGGCGAUCUGGGUCGAUACUGACGCUGAGGUGGCGAAAAGCGUGGGGAGCAAACAGG